UUAAGACUGGCUGUGAAUCUUCCACUGAUCUUCUCUUUCUUGUUUGAUUGCAUUUGUAUCAGAACGUGGAGGCUUUCCCCAGGACCCUGCCUAAACCAUUGGAAGAAAGCUGAAGUGUUGCCUCUGUAACUGCAGUUCAUUGUGAAGCUCUUGCCUUCUUGGACUUUCAGGUACCUCCUCAGCUACAUUCCCUGGACAAAGCCCUGGCCCUAGUACAUCAACCUCCAUCCUUCCCAACUUCCUUCUUUCACUUCUUACUCUGGCCUGAGAUGGAGAAGAGCAAAGGAAGAGCCCUUGGGAGGGAAUGAG